AGGCUCGUCAAUCGAAAUGAGUACAAUUUAAAUCCUUUAACGAGUACCAAUUGGAGGGCAAGUCUGGUGCCAGCAGCCGCGGUAAUUCCAGCUCCAAUAGCGAAUAUUAAAUUUGUUGCAGUCAAAAAGCUCGUAGUUGGAUCCAAGGUUAGGCAUGCCUGUCUGUUCUUAGUAGCAUGACUGUGUGUGUCUGCCUUUAUUAGUUGAAUGUUCACUAUGGUGGUCUUCAUCGACUGCUAUGAUGUGCUCAACACGUUUACCUUGAAAAAAUCAGAGCGAUCAAGGCAGGCCUUCGUGCUUGUAUGUUGUUGCAAGGAAUAAUAGAAUAGGACUUCGGUUCUAUUUUGUUGGUUUUGAGAAUUGAAGUAAUGAACAAUAGAGACAGUCGGGGGCAUUUGUAUGGUGGCGUCAGAGGUGAAAUUCUGAGAUCGUCGCCAGACAAACUACUGCGAAAGCAUUUGCCAAGGAUGUCUUCAUUAAUCAAGAACGAAAGUCAGAGGUUCGAAGACGAUCAGAUACCGUCCUAGUUCUGACCAUAAACGAUGCCGACCUACAAUCGGGGGUGGUUUAUUAUAUUGACCCUCCCGGCUGUCCUCAGGAAACUUUAAGUUGGUUCUGGGGGGAAUAUGGUCUCAAGACUGAAACUUAAAGGAAUUGACGGAAGGGCACCACCAGGAGUGGAGCCUGCGGCUUAAUUUGACCCAACACGGGGAAUCUCACCCGGUCCGGACACUGGUAGGAUGGACAGAUUGAUAGCUCUUUCUUGAUUCAGUGGGUGGUGGUGCAUGGCCGUUCUUAGUUGGUGGAGUGAUUUGCCUGGUUAAUUCCGAUAACGAACGAGACUCUGUCCUGCUAAAUAGUCCAGUGGCAUCAAUCACUAUGUGAUUACAGCUGCUGUUACUUCUUAGAGGGAUUCGCGGAUUUAAACCGCAAGAAAUAGAGCAAUAACAGGUCUGUGAUGCCCUUAGAUGUCCGGGGCCGCACGCGCGCUACAUUGACAGUAGAAGCGAGUAUUUCUACCUGGUUCGAAAGAAUUGGGAAAUCUUCGAAUUACUGUCUCCACAGGGAUUGAGGUUUGCAAUUUUGCCUCGUGAACGAGGAAUUCCCAGUAGGCGCAAGUCAUCAGCUUGCGUCGACUACGUCCCUGCCCUUUGUACACACCGCCCGUCGCUACUACCGAUUGAGUGCAUUAGUGAGGACCUCGGAUUGAGAACAUAGUGGCGCAAGUUACUUUGUUUUCGAAAAGUGGUUCAAAUUUGUGCAUUUAGAGAUAGUAAAAGUCGU
rnacentral:rRNA from 1 species